GAAUAUUGCACAAUGGGCGAAAGCCUGAUGCAGCGACGCCGCGUGAGGGAUGACGGCCUUCGGGUUGUAAACCUCUUUCAGCAGGGAAGAAGCGCAAGUGACGGUACCUGCAGAAGAAGCACCGGCUAACUACGUGCCAGCAGCCGCGGUAAUACGUAGGGUGCGAGCGUUGUCCGGAAUUAUUGGGCGUAAAGAGCUUGUAGGCGGUUUGUCGCGUCUGCCGUGAAAAUUCGAGGCUCAACCUCGAACUUGCGGUGGGUACGGGCAGACUAGAGUGUGGUAGGGGAGACUGGAAUUCCUGGUGUAGCGGUGAAAUGCGCAGAUAUCAGGAGGAACACCGAUGGCGAAGGCAGGUCUCUGGGCCACUACUGACGCUGAGAAGCGAAAGCAUGGGGAGCGAACAGGAUUAGAUACCCUGGUAGUCCAUGCCGUAAACGUUGGGAACUAGGUGUGGGUCUCAUUCCACGAGAUCCGUGCCGCAGCUAACGCAUUAAGUUCCCCGCCUGGGGAGUACGGCCGCAAGGCUAAAACUCAAAGGAAUUGACGGGGGCCCGCACAAGCGGCGGAGCAUGCGGAUUAAUUCGAUGCAACGCGAAGAACCUUACCAAGGCUUGACAUAUGCGAGAACGCGGCAGAGAUGUCGUUCUCUUUGGACACUCGCAUACAGGUGGUGCAUGGUUGUCGUCAGCUCGUGUCGUGAGAUGUUGGGUUAAGUCCCGCAACGAGCGCAACCCUCGUUCUAUGUUGCCAGCACGUGAUGGUGGGGACUCAUAGGAGACUGCCGGGGUCAACUCGGAGGAAGGUGGGGAUGACGUCAAAUCAUCAUGCCCCUUAUGUCUUGGGCUUCACGCAUGCUACAAUGGCCGGUACAAAGGGCUGCGAUACCGCGAGGUGGAGCGAAUCCCAAAAAACCGGUCUCAGUUCGGAUUGGGGUCUGCAACUCGACCCCAUGAAGUCG
rnacentral:rRNA from 1 species